UCUUCCAUGCAGAUAUUAGAAAAUUAAAACAACAUUUUUGCUCUUUUUCAAGCUAGACAAGCCAUACGGGGAAGAGAAAAUGGUGAGAUUCCCUUCAGAGAAGGUCAGUCUGAUUGGUGCCCUCCAAUUAAUUAAUCCAUUAGUUAAUUAUUUUGAGGACUGGGGCUCAAACUUAGGGCACCACACAUGUAGGCAGUUAUUCCAGUAGUUAGCUACAUAUUUAAUUUUUUUAAAAAAUUUGAGAUAGGGCCUUUCUAUCAAACUCAAACUGGCCUUAAAAUUGUUCUGUUCUGUAGCCGGGAAGAGCUCACUAUGCCCUGUCUCAGCCUCUCGAGCCUCUGGGAUUGUUGGGCCACGCCACCAGGCUCAACUGUGACCUAUAUUUUAAAACACCGACCUCCUGACUUCUUUUCCCAUCCCGUUUUGCCAGGAAUGAUGGAAGCUGGAGGGAAUGGGCUGUGGCCCUGAACACGCCCUGAGCUCUGGAGACCCAGUGAUAUAGAGAUCUGCCGAGGAUGGCUGUUUAAGGUGUCAGUCUGGUUGAUAGCUGGAGCCAAGAGAACCCCCUCAGCUGGGAGUGGGAGGUCCCAGGGGUCGGUAGCGUGGACUAUGCUUGGCUCAAAGGAGCAGUAGGCUCCACAGCUGGCUCGGAAGCAUGGCUGUGCUGUCAGUGGCAAGCUAGUCCCUGUCAAGUGUAAGCAGGACUUUGUCUUGUCUCAAACUUUCUCUUUGAUUGCUUGCUAAAUGCAGACAGUGCAUCAUAAGCAAAAAGUUGUCAAUUCAAAGAGAAGGUGGGCCUGACAUUUCUGCUGGGCCCGGCGUCCCUUCCACUUAGCUGAGCAGGGACCCCACCGUUCAUCAUGGAGUAAUAGAUGAUUGAUUCAACUGCACCCCGAUUAGAAAAGGCUUCAUUUUACUUGUGCAUGGUGCAUGGAAUUAGUUAAGGGUUGCAUAGGAAAGAAGUGAUAGACUAUUGUUCACACUAAAUUAUAAUGACAGCCUUCCGAACCACUGUGUAUUUAUUAUGUAAGAAAAGAAAAUGUCUGGUAAAAUUCUGUAUAGGUUAAUAACACCUUCAUAAUCUACUCCUUCUUUUCUGUUGACUUGAAUAGCCCUCCUACCGACUUUUAAUGGAUUAUUAGAGUUAAUUACAUCAAUUGCAAUAUAAUUGAUUCUUAAAUACUAUGUAGAAACCUCAUACAAUUAUGGAAAAACAAAAGUUAUCUAGACAUCUCAAAUCAAAAAAGAUUUGGAAUUCCUGUGCAUUUAAUUCCUGAUAAUCACCAGUCAGUUUGGACAUUAAGAUUGCAUGGUGUCUUGUUUUCUCUUUGCCAGGUUUUGACAGAAUUGAUAGUUUUACAACAUUUAACUCAAUACGCAUGGAAAUAUAAGAUUAAAGCUGUGAGAGCUAUUUUUUUUCCUUAAAAAAAGAUCACUUUAUGGCUCAAAAGCUGAAAUGUGUUACCUGCUUCACGGUGACAGAAAUAAACUCAAGGGAAAAAUCAAAAGCGAGUUGAUGCUGGGCCUUAGAAAUCUCUUCUCCACAGGCAUACAGGUGCCCAGGGGCCUUUAGGGUGCUUUAUUUUAACUUGGGGGCUUUAAAAUGUGACAAGGGGAUGAAUCACCUAAAGAGGCCCCAGGGUCACCUUCGUGUUACCACUGAGUCGGGCACAACAGUGUUUUCCUGUCAACACCCCUGGCUGAAGACAGCCCUGGCUUUACGUCCUGAUCGAAACCCUUCCUCUCCUCCCAGGCCACCGUACACACCCCUCCCCACAUUCUUCCCUGAAAGGACUCUCACUUCCCACACUAAUUAAGCAUUUUGGUCACUCUAAAAUGGCUGGCCUUUCCAUACUGGCCCGAAUAUGAGGAUGGUCUUAUGUAGGCUGCAGAAUUGUUGGGAGUUCCUGAGUGCGGCAUCCCGGGCAUGGCCAGGAAAACCUAGCCUGAUUGUUAGAUGUCUGGCUUCCGCAGUCAUUCUGCCUCUCUUCCAGAACGUUCCCCGAGCCUCGUGUGUAGGAGUUAUGCUACAGAUAUCCACUUGGGGACAGGGCCCCCACCAUGGCUGCUUUAAGUGAAUUAGUUUUUAAAGCAUAGGAAAAUAUAAAUACUACUUUAUUUUAUGGAAUGUGAAUUGAGCUUUAAUCAGAUACCUGUAAGAUGUAAAAGUUUCCGUUGGCUUUCCCAUAAGCUGAAAUGCCAUCCUACUUCCAAGCUUUAGUGAACUGGAUUAGCCCGUGGUAUCGUUCCUGUGAAGGGAAGACCCGUGAAAGAGCAACAAAACCCAGCUUCUUUUGCACAAGCCCAGACACAGCAUAAUGGUCCUCAAAGCAAUCAGAACGUCUUAAAUGGUGCCGCGUGCUCAGGGGCAGCAGAGAAAGCGGUCAAGAAGAUUAGAGCCCAGAAGCAGACCCAGGACUGCAGAGGAGUGCUGCUGUGAGUGCAGAGUGUGGAGGCAUUUCAGAUCUGUGGCUCAGCACGUGCCUGGUGCUGGGACAACUGUCUCUCCAUCUGGACUUGCACUAUACACAGAAGUAAAUUCCAGAUGGAACAAGGCUCUGAGCAUGAAACUCACAUCUAUGCUCCCGAGAGCCUUGGUUUCUGAAAGCAUCUGCUGGUCAGAGGACAGGCCCUGCUGGCACAGGAUGUCUCCGGCCUCUCUGCUGCUGUGAUCUGCUGCUGUCUGGACGGCCUUCCCAGCACCCACUCUCAGACGAUGAUUAGUGCUGAAGGAGGAUGGAACAUUUGUUGAAUGAAUGAAGCCAUUUAAUAAGGAGGAGGCCGUGCUUGUGUGAGACCCUGCGUUUGGAUCCCCAGAAUCUGCGAAAAGCCCUGCACAGGAGCCUGUAAUCCCAGUGUGCUUACAGAGAGACAGGAGGCGGAGACAGAUCUCCAGAAGCUCUUGGGCCAGAUUGCCCAUGGCACCCAGUGGGGAUCAGCAAGAGACCUUGUCUCAGACGAGGUGGAGUCGCUUCAAAACUAAAGUUGGGGCUGGAGAGAAGGCUCGUCAGUUAAGAUCACUUUCUGCUCUUGCAGAGGAUGCAGGAGGAAGAGAGGAAUUGGUGGCAGAAGCUGGGAAAACCCGCUGCUCUCUAUGGGAGCUAAGCAAGGCCAGCGGUGAGGAUGGCAGUGCUACCUGGUCUCACCAUACCUGCUGUCAGACUUCUCUGUCUAUCGCCUUCAGCCUCAUUGCCUUGAGACCAGGUCUCUCCCUGAGGAGAUGUGCCCUCAUCCACCACGCCAUCUCCCUAGCCGGCUACUUCUCCCUCUUAAACAUAACCAUUGUUGCCAGGUGACCUCACCUGGUCCCAGCCUCUAGCUGGCAUUGUUCUCCUCUCCUCUCACUUCUGUGAGUUCAGUCUCUAGACUCCGCACACAAGUGAGACCUUGAAAGCGUCUUAAACAGCAUCUUUCUAGAUCCCUGUUUCCCCCAGGAUGCUCUGGCUGGCUGUCAUGUUCCACGUGGUCAGGGUAUGUGAGUCUUGUCAAAUGUGCAGAAUCUAGGGAAACAGAGUGGUGCCUGAAUGCACAAUGCCUGGACAGGCAGCUCAGAAUCGGAAGAUCUGGGAAGAUCUUGAUUUGGAAAGACAAUGUCCCCUCAGACCUCGACCUCAAGAGGGCGAACCACCCAGGAAGCACCUAGAGCUUUUCUUCAUGGAGCUGCUAAUUAAAAAGAAUAUGUCACCAAAAUCACAGAAUGCCUCAGACUGGGAACUAACAAGAGAGAGAUCCAGGCUCAUAUCUGGGAGACGAAAAGCCUGUACUGAUGGUUCUCACUGGGGUCACCUAAAGCCAGAAGCUGGCAUUCUGAAGAAAUGUUUCUAGACCCAUUUUCAGGGGACAGUUGACAUCCACCCUGUGUGGCUGUGGACUAUGUGGCCAUACCAGAGCCUGGAAGAUGCGCUGAAACAGAGGGAGGGAAGCAAGGAAGGUUGGACUAGGGACAUGUCUGCAUGUCUUGCUCCAAGCCUUAGUGGUCUCAGAGGAGCUGACUUCGACAUUCACCAGAGUUUCCCUCCCUGCAUCUGUGAAGCAGAAACCAUGCCCAGCCAUUCUGGGUUGUCAGGUAGUGUGAGCAAAGUGCUUCACACUAGCAUGCGGAUCUUUCCCCGUGAAUGUCUUGAUUUGCUAUAACUCAAAAUGCCAAAUAUACAUCACUAGGAAAACAGUGUGCAUGGCUUUAAAAUAUCAGUUUUUAGAAACAUGCAUGGCUCCAUGGCUUUCCCCCAAUUGGGCUCAUGACAUGAAAAGAAAAAUCAUGCCAUUUAGUAACAGAAGGAAUGAUAAAUCUAUAGUGGUUAUGUGACAGUAGGUGUAUUUCUAUCCAACCCAACGUUCAUAAUUUAAAGCAAGGGCAGGGUCUCUCUGUUUUUGCCUAGUGACUUUGCACCAUGACUACAUGCUGGAGUUAAAAAUGAUGUGCUGAGUAAGUGGAGAAAAUCUUAUCUUCUCAUAGCCAUCCAUCCGUCUCUCUCUAUAUCUGUUUAUCACCUAUCAUCUAUUUAUCUAUCACCUCUCUCUCUCUCUCUCUCUCUCUCUCUCUCUCUCUCUCUCUCUUCUCUUCUCACCUAUCAACUGUUUUCCAAUAUCUAUGUAGGCAUAAUCUAUUACAUCUAUUAAUCCAUCAUUUCUAUCUACAUAUCCUGUCUAUAAUCAGUCAUUCAAUCAAUCAAUCUAUCUGUCUAUUCAUGCAUUAUAUCUAUUACAAAUGUAUGUAUGUAUGUAUUUAUGUAUAUAUGUAUGUGUGUAUGCAUCUAUCCCCCCAUCCAUCCAUCCAUCCAUCCAUCCAUCCAUCCAUCCAUCCAAACAUCCAUCCACCCAUUCAUCCAUCCAUCCAUCCAUCCAUCCAUCCAUCCAUCCAUCCAUCUUACCAAAGUCACACUGUGUAGCCCAGGCUGGCUUGGAACUCUCAGCCUCCUGUGUGCAGCGAUUAUAGGCUAUCUUAUUUGUUGAUGUUGCUUCUCAUCUUGCUGCAACCCCAUAUCCAUCACUGACAGGGGGUGGAGGGAUCAGUUAGUACUCAUACAUAAUGCCUGUAGCCAGAUCCUGCUCUUCUUGACAACAGCGUUAAAGCUGAAUGCUCACUCUUCCCCCAAUGAUCUUCUCUUUCCCCAGUUGUCAGCUGGAUGGGCUUGCAUUUCCUCACGGUGGUUGUGGCCUUUGUUAUAGGAUAGGUCUUUCUCUGCAGUGCUGGCUAUGGAGCAGCUUCUUCAUCUUGGCUUUUGAGAUUUGUGCACACUCCUGAGUGUGGUCCUGGCCAUUUGCCUCUGUAGAAGCCAUAUGCUCUGUGUGCAUUUUAUUCUACCCCAGAUCCCAUAGUUUCUCUUCUCUACCAUGACAUUCUGCUGUAGGAACAUUUUGGACUACUGGACCCCAUGUGUAUCGCACAUAGGUGUUAGGAAGCCGGGUUCUCUACUGCAUCCACCUCUACUGGACCUCUGCCUAAAGACCCUACCUUACCUUCAAAGGCGCCUCUUGCUGAAGAGUCAGUGUGAACAUGGCUUCUCUAGAAGUUGGGUAUUGAGAUUCCCAGGGUGUCCACCGGAGAGGAAGGGAGUUGAAGUGUGGAGAACAGGGACAGGGCUAUGGGCCAUCAGUGAAGUUGUUCUCUCGGCUCGAUGGCAGAUCUUCUCUUCCCAAUGGGGAAGUGAUUUUAUGCUGCUUAAGUCUCUGCACUUUGAUAGCAUCAUGUAUCACUUCACUUAUGUAAAUGGGGCUUUUGAAAUCGAGGCUUCUUUUUCUCCAAAACUUAGCUUCAAGAAUAUAAUUUGUUUUAGCACUAAAAAAAAAAUCUUAUUUUGAUGCUAAGUAUUGAAUAACACUUUCUUUUCAGCCUGGUGUUAUUCACUACCCACAGACUGAGAAGUGUUGUUCCAUGAAUAAAGCCCUCAAAGGGUCAUAAAUUCAGGAGAGUAAGUACAUCCCACGUUAAUGUGAAAUAUGCAGUAGCUCACAAUGGUAUAAACACACACUCACACACACACACACACACACACACACACACACCUGUUAGGUAUGAGCCAGCCUGGUCAUCUGCUGUCACCUGCUUGUGCAAAAUUUAGGGAUGGCAGCUGCUUGUGUGGAGUCUGUAACAGCAGUACUUAGAGAAAUGCCUACACUGAAACGCCAGAUGUUUCAAUGGAAUGGCUGAUUUUUCUGGUUAUCUUAUUUCAUCAUUUGGUCAUCUUUGAAUUCCUUUCUUAUGAUUUUAUACAAACUUCCUGCAAAAAGUUAUCAGUAAACGUGGAUGCUGCGUCCUGACAAAGUCUCUACCCACCCACAUCAUCAUGAUUUACUUAUGCCUCAGACAGUUACAUGUCACAUCGUAUUCCAUAGUUAGAGGAUGGAUAAACUGAGAUUCAGGAAAGUUCAAAUCACUCCGGGUGCACUAAGGAUGGGUGGCUCCAGGGCCCAUUCACUAAACCCAGAUCUUCAGUGGCACACACCAGAUGUCUGCUUUCUCCUUCCACACCAAGCUUGUUCCAGAAGAUGGACUCAGUUUAGCUUCCUGAAUUAAGAAGUGCCUCUCCAAGAUGAGCCUGCAAAAGGGCCUCCAAGGAAAGUCCCCAAAGAGAGCUUCUGUAACUGCAUUAACCGAUGACACAAAGAAGAAACCAACCCCUGUGUGAAGUCAGGGAGAUUGUUUCCAUAACUAUUGGCAUUUUUUACUCUAAUACAGAAAUUGGUACCAGAAGUGGGGUCUGGACAUAAUCAAAUUGUAUCACUUUACUGUUACCUUAUCCUAACUACAUCAAUUUUGUAGUCCAGAAACAAUUGAAACUCUUGCCAGAGAAUGAAAAAAGUGGGCAUCUGUGUUUUACAGUGUUCAGUAUUUGUUAUGAACAUUCCCACUAGUUUGUAGUUAGUUCGUGGAGCUGGUAUAGAGAACAGGUCAGAGAACAAACUUUAGUACUAUUAUUCCGUAUUAGGGAAUCACAUACACAUUAUUGCGUUUUCAAGUAGAAGUAGAAUGGAGUUCAGAGACUCCAAGGGCCUCACAGAAUUAGGAAAGAUAAAUUUGUUUUGUACUCAUGCAAUAAGAUAGAGAACUGAAAAGAAUUUAAACAGCACAUAUUCAGCAAAACUCUUGAUGGAGUGAAUGAAAGGGCAGACCCCACUCAUCUGAGAGGUAUGACUGUCUCACUUUUUAUCUUGCAUACCCUCGUGUGUUAUAUUGCAAUAAAGAUAUGGAGGUGAAGACAUUGAGGCGAGCAGGGGUAGGGGGAAAGAAGGGGAGAGAAGGGGGAGAAGGAGAGGGACAGAGACAGGGAGGGAGGGAGAGAGAAGAAGGGAGAGAGAGAACAGAAAUCAGGGGGAGCAUCUCUGGACAGGGGAGGCCCCCAGCAGUCUAUGAGGCGACCCUGGCUGAGAUUCCAAGCAGCAGGAAUAUAGCCUGAAGUUGCCACCUCCUGUAGCCAGGUGGGACUUCCAGUGGAGGGAGAAGGAUGCCAACCCACCCACACAACCUUCGACCCAGAGUUUGUCGAGCCUACAAGAAAUGUUGGGAUGAAAAUGGAGCAGAGAUUGAGGAAACGGCAAAUCGAUGACUGGGCCAAUUUGAGACCCACCUCGUGGGAGAGAGCCAACAAGGGUACUCUGCUAGCUCACAGACAGGAGCCUAGCACAACUGUCCUCUGAGAGGCCUCAUCCAGCAGCUGAUGGAAACAGAUGGGACACCCACAGCCAAACAAUAGCCGAGCUCAGGGAGUCUUGUGGAAGACUGGGAGGAAGGAUUGAAGGAGCAGGAGGGGUCAAGGACAGCACAGGAAGACCUAUAGAGUAAACUGACCUGGGCCCAUGGGGCCUCACAGAGACUGAACCACCAACCAAAGAGCUUGCACGGGCUGAUCCUAGACCCCUACACAUAGUAACAGACUCGCAGUACGGUCAUCAUCUGGGUCCGCUAACAAUUGGAGGAGGGCUAGCUCCGACUGUUGUCUGCCCCUGAAUCCCUUCCCAGAGCUGGGGUUUCUUGUCUGGCCUCAGUGGCACAGGAUGCGCUUAGUCCUUCUGUGAGUUGAGGGGCCAGACUGGGUUGGCACCCCUUAGGCUCUCCCCACCCUUCUCUGAGAAGAAGGAGAGGGUGGGGGCUUGAGGGCGGGGCUGGGAGGAUAGGAGUGAGGGUUCUGGGAUCAGGCUGAAAAGUGAUUAAAUAAAACAAACAAACAAACAAAGGGGAAGACAAAACACAGCUGAGUAUAUGAGUGUUCCGAACAGUAGCAGGACACAGCUCUCCUUUUUUCUGGGUAGGCUUUAAACUGUUUCUACCUAUUUUCUGUUAAUGUAGAGGAAAGCAACUGAUCUUUGGAAAACACUUUCUUCUGAACUUGCACAGAGCGGUAAAAUCCUUGGACUGUUCAAUGUAAAUAAACAUCCUGCUUCUGUUAAAA